GAGUUUGAUCCUGGCUCAGAAUGAACGCUGGCGGCAGGCCUAACACAUGCAAGUCGAACGGAGUUAUAUUGUAGCUUGCUAUGGUAUAACUUAGUGGCAGACGGGUGAGUAAUGUAUAGGAAUCUACCUAGUAGUACGGAAUAAUUGUUGGAAACGGCAACUAAUACCGUAUACGCCCUACGGGGGAAAAAUUUAUUGCUAUUAGAUGAGCCUAUAUUAGAUUAGUUAGUUGGUGAGGUAAAGGCUUACCAAGACAAUGAUCUAUAGCUGAUCUGAGAGGAUGAUCAGCCACACUGGAACUGAGAUACGGUCCAGACUCCUACGGGAGGCAGCAGUGGGGAAUAUUGGACAAUGGGCGAAAGCCUGAUCCAGCCAUGCCGCAUGAGUGAAGAAGGCCUUCGGGUUGUAAAGCUCUUUUAGUGAGGAAGAUAAUGACGGUACUCACAGAAGAAGUCCUGGCUAACUCCGUGCCAGCAGCCGCGGUAAUACGGAGAGGGCUAGCGUUAUUCGGAAUCAUUGGGCGUAAAGGGCGCGUAGGCGGGUUAGUAAGUUAAAAGUGAAAUCCCAAGGCUCAACCUUGGAACUGCUUUUAAAACUGCUAGUCUAGAGAUUGAAAGAGGAUAGAGGAAUUCCUAGUGUAGAGAUGAAAUUCGUAAAUAUUA
rnacentral:rRNA from 2 species